UCUCAUGACCCUGAGAUCAUAACCUGAGCUGAAACCAAGAAUUGGGUGCUUAACUGAGUGAGCCACCCAGGAGCCCCUACCUUCUUUAUUUUCUAAAGAUCAUCUAUUUACAUUUAUUGGCUCAGAGAAGAUAUCACAGUCUUCCUUAGAACUUAUAAAGCUGACGUACUCUCCUAAUAUUCUAACUGGCUAUCAGUGUAUUUCUCUGUGUGCUUCAGUAUUUGAAAGUUCUUCAUAAUUCCUUCUGUACGUUAUGGUAAGAGUUUUCAUAAUAACCAUUAAUCAUUGUUUUGCUCUGUCAAUGAAAUUUUGAUGUUUCACUUCACGUCACACCUCAAAUGUGUACCUACAUUUGAAAGUGAAUAUGCAGGUAUUAAUAACAAAUUCAGAUGAGGAGUCCAGUUCUCAUUUCCGACAGUGUGGCACUGUGUGCAGUCGCCAUCAACCGACGUGAUCAUUCCACCCCAGAGGGGCCGGCGACGCCUUGAGUGGCCCUGGGUGUGCGGGCGCCGAGAGCCUGCCCUCGGUUUGGGAACCAGCGCCUAUUGGCCUCACACCUCCUCAAGGGUCUCUACCUCAAACUCAACCGGCCUAGGCUGUGCUUCUGAUACCUCUCCAUCCUGAUCCUGGGAUCACAACAAUCCUCCAGUGUCUGCUUUCAAGCUAUUUCCAGAAAUCCGACACUUCUCACCACCUCCAUUCCUACCACUCCUGUGUGAGCCAGCAUCAUCUCUCACUGGGACUGUUGCCUCGAAGCCGGGCUCCUUUCUUCUGCUCUUCCCACUCCUGAUGAGUCUCAACACGGCAGUCAGAGAAGUCUUCGAAAGCGUAAUUGAUGUCCAAAGCCUGCAGUGGCUCCCAUCUCAGUCAGUCAGAGCCGUCCUCCGAAAGGCCUUCGUCAUUAGGCCCUUGAACUUCUGUGACCUCCCGACCUCCACAUCCCCCCCUUCACUUCCCACGCAGACCUUGCAGUUCCCAGAACACCCUGUCACCCUCCUGCCUGAGGGCCUGUCACUGUGGGUUCUCUCCGCUUGCACAGCCCUUCCUCCAGGUACCUGCAUGCAUGGCUAACCCCCCUCCUUCAGAUCUUCGCUUGGUUAACAUCGGCUCAUACAGCCUCCUGGGCGCGUGCCCCCGCCCCCGCACUCACACUCUCCUUCCUUUAGCUACUUUCUUUUUUGCUGUCAAUGUAUUACCUUUGGACCUACUCUGCGAUUUACUUAUUCAUUUGUUGAUUUUUGUUGUCUUUCUUCUUCAGCUAGAAGGUAAAUUCAAAGGUCAGGAGCCUUAUCUGUUUGGUGCACCAAUGUACUGUGAGGACCUGAAACAGUGUUCAGCACGUAGUCAUUACACAUUUGUUGCUUACUUAAUGCAUGAAACGUUGAAUUGAGUCUUUGGCUUUUCUGCUUUCCAAAGGCUGACGCUGAAGAGUGAUAUUUUUUUUAAGAUUUAUUUAUUUAUUUAUUUAUUUAUUUAUUUAUUUAUUUAUUUAUUUAUGAUAGACACAGAGAGAGAGAGAGAGGCAGAGACACAGGAGGAGGGAGAAGCAGGCUCCACACUGGGAGCCCGACGCGGGACUCGAUCCCGGGACCCCAGGAUUGCGCCCUGGGCCAAAGGCAGGUGCCAAACCGCUGAGCCACCCAGGGAUCCCCCCAAGAGUGAUAUUUUGGACAACAAAGGCCAACGAUGAGGUUCAGUGCAUUCCCCCCCCCCCCCCCCAGUGCCUGUAUACAGGUCCCUUCCAGUCCCACUGACACAUGUCUUGGGGUGAGAAGCCUCGACUACUUUUUUUUUUUUCUUUUAAUGAAAGUCACACACACACACACACACACACACACACACACAGAGGGAUCCCCUCGACUACUUAUCUUAACUUGAAUCUGCUUUGUCUUUUUCCAAGGCCAAAAUCACCUUCCUGGGACUUUAUUUUAUUUUAUUUAUUUUAUUUUAUUUUAUUUUAUGAUA